rnacentral:rRNA from 1 species
UACGUAGGGGGCAAGCGUUGUCCGGAUUUAUUGGGCGUAAAGAGCGUGUAGGCGGCCUGACAGGUCUGCUGUGAAAACUCGAGGCUCAACCUCGAGAUGUCGGCGGAAACCGUCUGGCUAGAGUCCGGAAGAGGAGAGUGGAAUUCCUGGUGUAGCGGUGAAAUGCGCAGACAUCAGGAAGAACACCGGUGGCGAAGGCGGGUCUCUGGGCAGUAACUGACGCUGAGGAGCGAAAGCGUGGGGAGCGAACAGG